rnacentral:rRNA from 1 species
GAUGAACGCUGGCGGCGUGCCUAAUACAUGCAAGUCGAGCGAACAGAUAAGGAGCUUGCUCCUUUGACGUUAGCGGCGGACGGGUGAGUAACACGUGGGUAACCUACCUAUAAGACUGGAAUAACUCCGGGAAACCGGGGCUAAUGCCGGAUAACAUGUUGAACCGCAUGGUUCUACAGUGAAAGGCGGCUUUGCUGUCACUUAUAGAUGGACCCGCGCCAUAUUAGCUAGUUGGUGAGGUAACGGCUCACCAAGGCAACGAUACGUAGCCGACCUGAGAGGGUGAUCGGCCACACUGGAACUGAGACACGGUCCAGACUCCUACGGGAGGCAGCAGUAGGGAAUCUUCCGCAAUGGGCGAAAGCCUGACGGAGCAACGCCGCGUGAGUGAUGAAGGUCUUCGGAUCGUAAAACUCUGUUAUUAGGGAAGAACAAAUGCGUAAGUAACUGUGCGCGUCUUGACGGUACCUAAUCAGAAAGCCACGGCUAACUACGUG